AAAGCUGUCUGAAAGGGCAUUGACAUCACCAUGUCGGUCGCUCUUCCCUACGAUGUACUGUUUUGCACCAGCGAGGAUCCGCAUCAUCCUGUAUCAGAGCUGGGCGGAUGCAACGGUGAGGUAAAGCCUGGAUCGCCGAUACCGGCUGGCUGGCAGAGCGCGCGCCACGGCAAGACGCCACAAACUUUAGUCAUUCGCUUUCAGGGUAACGUGUGGUUGCAGCAGCUUCGCAUUCUCUCUCAUGAGGCAAAGAUCGCGACGAAAGUGGAGGUGCGCGUUGCGAAGCUCUCCGAAGGCGACGACUGGGACAACCCACCGUCGUUCCGCAACGUGCGGUUUGUCAAGCUUGGCUCCGUGGACUUCAACAGCAACGAACAGUCGCACUUCAAGUCGAAGGAACGCAAAACGGUCCACCUCAAAACAGAGGCCUAUUUCCUGAAGCUACUCUUUGACCGCCCUUUCAUCAACGCCUACAACACAGGGCAUCAGGUCGGAAUCUACUCUCUGGAGUGCAGCGGGUACCUGAUCGAGCCGAUCGCAUUCCACGCCGAUCGGUUGCCUGGAGUCGAGACACCGCCCCGGCGCCGCAACUCGGCUGCGCCGCCGACAAAGCAGGCAGCGACGAAGCGGCAGUCAUCUGGCACGCCACCGGCCUUGGUCUCGCUCGACGGCCCGCGCGCGAAAAGCGCGUCGAAUGCGAACGAGGGUGGUGGCAAGUCCAUGCCCCUCGCCUCUUUGACGUCCCCGCAACAGGCUCGCUUGUCCUACGGCGGCGGGGCGCCCUCUCACGCCGUGCCGAGCGGGAUCUUCCGCUCUGUCCGUAUCCUUGAGUUUGAGGACUUCUUUCUGCGUCGCUCCGAGGAGCUGGUGUCACUCAAGGCGGAGGCGGUGGCGAUCGAGGACUAUCACGUCGCCGCCGAGUGCCGGGACAAGCUGGCGCUGUUGAAUAGCCGGGCCAGGGAGGUCUACGAACUUGAGCAAGACAAGGUGCAGGCCAUAAUUGACGAGCAUUUCGACACCGCGCAGAAGUUGAAGAUUCGCAUGAACACGCUGGUUGAGCAGCUGUUCGAAGAGACCUCUCUGCCUUCUCCGGCAGCGGCGCCACCCUCUGCCCGAAGUGGCGAGUGGGUCUCCGGUGUCGCGAGCCACCUCCGGUAUAAUGUCAGCCUUCCCUCCACGCCUGUCUCCAUGGCUGGCACGCCGCACGCCGAUGAAGCUGUCGAGAAUGUGAAGUCUCCCGCACCUGACGCGAUCGAGGCGAACGAACAGGAAGCACAGGUAAUCAACGUGGACACGCUAGAGCCGCGCGAAAAGGCCGUCGCACACGCGAUUCUCUCCUGCGCUGGGAGCGAAGAGGUCGCCUCCGUGGCACUCGCGAAUCCUGGCUUCGACAUCCAGUUUCUUAUUGCCGCCGUCGGCAGCUUCACAGUGGCGUGCUUGUUUUCGCGAAGCUUCAAGUUGCGGGAGGCCGCCUUGAUUGUGCUGACCGAGAAGAUGGAUAUGCUGCCGUCUCCUGCGCAGGCUGUCGAGGAUGCACUACUUCGCUUUCUAGACCUCAACGCGUACGGCCUUCAGGACUCGAUCCCGAAUGUGGUGUUCGCGGCGUGCACUUUUGUUCGCAUGUGUCUCGACGACACAUCCAAGUGCAUCGGCGGUGUUCUCUCGCCUCUCGUUGCCCUCCUCCCGCGCCUCCUCACGCGAUGCAGCGACAACCUUCAGCGCAUCCGCGAUGAGGCGCUCACGACCCUGACACUGUACGUGAAGACCGCCGCCAUCCCGUCCAGCUCUAUCCUGUCAGCUGCGUUGAUGGAGCCAACAGACAAGGAGAGGCGAAAUCUGCCAUUCAGCAAUGCGAGGGCGCAGCUCGCGCGCUUGAGUUUGUUUCAGCUGCUUGUGGAAAACGGUCGCCUACACGUGGACAGCGCCGGCUUCCAUUCCGAGCAGGUGCUCCACAAACUACUUCUCCCCACGGUGAACCACCCCAACCCCGAGGUGCGCGAUUUGGCGGUUUCGAUUCUCGGAAAGCUCGUUGGCGGUCGUCAGCUCGCUGUACGGGACAAAGACCUUGCCAAGAUCACUCACGCCGGUAUUCGCGAGACCAUCGCCAGCAAGCGCUGAGUGACGCUGCGUAUAGAAGGGGCAGGGGCUCGUGUGGAGUGUGCUCCACUUUUUACUUUAGGCUCGAUACUGCGCGUAGCCGCAGCAGUGUGCGUUUGUAUACACUUACACGUCCAGCGGACAGCUGUGUGCGGGAGGCACCUAUGUACAAUACCAUCAGCACAGCAGCGAAUCAUGCGACCUGGUUUCACCACCUUUCACUCUCAGCUGUCGCCGCUCGACGCCUUUGCCGGGUAAACGGACACAGGGCGAUUUGUUGUAUUGCGCUGCGUUCAGCCUCCACAUGUGCACACGAGACAGAACGAGUAUCUUCUGCCCUGGGAGACUGCCCCGAUGUCUUGCUGUGCUUCUGUCUUGCUCCUUGCCACUCUGCAUUACGUGUGCUGGACGUUGAGCUUACCGCGUCGCCGUGCUCUCAUCUGCUCCGGAUCGCUCCUUCGCACUUGCGUUCACCACCCCGCGCGUCGUGACCGACACCCUCACACAUCCCAUUUUUGCUUGCCUCUCGCACUCCUGUCUUGGCACUGUGCCACCCGCAG
rnacentral:misc_RNA from 1 species